GAUGAACGCUGGCGGCGUGCCUAAUACAUGCAAGUCGAGCGAACGGACGAUAAGCUUGCUUUUCUGAUGUUAGCGGCGGACGGGUGAGUAACACGUGUAUAACCUACCUAUAAGACUGGGAUAACUUCGGGAAACCGGAUCUAAUACCGGAUAAUAUUUUGAACCGCAUGGUUCAAAAGUGAAAGACGGUCUUGCUGUCUCUUAUAGAUGGAUCCGCGCUGCAUUAGCUAGUUGGUAAGGUAACGGCUUACCAAGGCAACGAUGCAUAGCCGAACUGAUAGGGUGAUCGGCCACACUGGAACUGAGACACGGUCCAGACUCCUACGGGAGGCAGCAGUAGGGAAUCUUCCGCAAUGGGCGAAAGCCUGACGGAGCAACGCCGCGUGAGUGAUGAAGGUCUUCGGAUCGUAAAACUCUGUUAUUAGGGAAGAACAUAUGUGUAAGUAACUGUGCACAUCUUGACGGUACCUAAUCAGAAAGCAACGGCUAACUACGUG
rnacentral:rRNA from 1 species